AUUGAACGCUGGCGGCAGGCCUAACACAUGCAAGUCGAACGGUAACAGGAAGAAGCUUGCUUCUUCGCUGACGAGUGGCGGACGGGUGAGUAAUGUCUGGGAAACUGCCUGAUGGAGGGGGAUAACUACUGGAAACGGUAGCUAAUACCGCAUAACGUCGCAAGACCAAAGAGGGGGACCUUCGGGCCUCUUGCCAUCGGAUGUGCCCAGAUGGGAUUAGCUAGUAGGUGGGGUAACGGCUCACCUAGGCGACGAUCCCUAGCUGGUCUGAGAGGAUGACCAGCCACACUGGAACUGAGACACGGUCCAGACUCCUACGGGAGGCAGCAGUGGGGAAUAUUGCACAAUGGGCGCAAGCCUGAUGCAGCCAUGCCGCGUGUAUGAAGAAGGCCUUCGGGUUGUAAAGUACUUUCAGCGGGGAGGAAGGGAGUAAAGUUAAUACCUUUGCUCAUUGACGUUACCCGCAGAAGAAGCACCGGCUAACUCCGUGCCAGCAGCCGCGGUAAUACGGAGGGUGCAAGCGUUAAUCGGAAUUACUGGGCGUAAAGCGCACGCAGGCGGUUUGUUAAGUCAGAUGUGAAAUCCCCGGGCUCAACCUGGGAACUGCAUCUGAUACUGGCAAGCUUGAGUCUCGUAGAGGGGGGUAGAAUUCCAGGUGUAGCGGUGAAAUGCGUAGAGAUCUGGAGGAAUACCGGUGGCGAAGGCGGCCCCCUGGACGAAGACUGACGCUCAGGUGCGAAAGCGUGG
rnacentral:rRNA from 1 species